rnacentral:lncRNA from 1 species
AGGGAAUCACUAGCAGAUAUCUUCAGAUAUCAGACAUUUAUCACUAUAUAUAUAUAUAUAUGUAUAUAUAUAUAUAUAUAUGUAUAUUAUUGAAGGAACCAGCUUCCUUUUGGCAGCCAUAACAGCCGAACACGUGCUUGCCAUAAACCUGCCUUGGUCACGUAGAGGUCAGAUGCCUGUCUCGUGACAAGGAACCUUAGUCACUUAGAGGUCAGAUGCCUGUCUUGUGACAAGGAACCAAUCAGAAGUUAGCUGGUGGCGCUAUGCUUUACGACCCUGGGUCUAACAUUUUGGGGGCUCGUCCGCGAUUUGCGACCACCCUUCACCUGAGUGGAUUCGAUCUUGGAGCACAUGGCACGGGAAAGGAGUUCUGCCAUGUGUCACGGGUUAGAAUGUGUUAUGUUGGAGUCCCCCGAGGCUGCUUUUCUGAACUCGAACCACUGCUGCAGCCCUUACAGCUGAGCCUGGCCCAUGUAGUUUAAACAUGUCUUAAACAGGUUUCUGCUUCUGGCAGACAUCUGAAUAUCAGUUGCUGACUACAGGCUGUUCUAAGUAGACUGCGAGCCCUGGACUUGCUGUGGAUGUGAACCAGUCCAGCUGAUGUGGACACCCCCUGUCUCUGCAACAGUGUCUGCUAACCAGAAGCCCCUGAUGAAUUCCCCAUUGCCUAAAUUCCUUUUUGCUUUUGACUAGCAUUUCAACCUUCUGGGGUCCCUAACUUCGUCCCAAAGUCAGCAGGAAGCAGUUUGGAAAAGAAUUUCGGCGUCCAUUUUCCCUGGUUAAAAUGCUAAGUCAAAAGGAACUCCCUUGCAUGGGGGUGCCAAUAUCUAUCACUCCCUGAUGGGGAUGCUAGAGAGACAGCAAUUCCAUGAUUGGAAUUUCCAAAAAAGAAAAUGGGGGAAUGAAGGAACCAGCUUCCCUUUUGGCAGCCAUAACAGCCGAACACGUGCUUGCCAUAAACCUACCUUGGUCACGUAGAGGUCAGAUGCCUGUCUCGUGACAAGGAACCCAUCAGAAGUUAGUCACUAGAAAGUCAGAUGCCUGUCUCGUGACAAGGAGCCAAUCGGAAGUUAGCUGGUGGCGCUAUGCUUUACGACCCUGGGUGUGCUUUACGGACAAGCACACAGCAAUGACGUAGAGAGCAUAGCAACCACCCUGGGAGGGCCUAUGGGCCAUAACAACCAGUUGACCAAUCAACACAGGGCAAGCCCUCCAAGCCUGGAAGCACACCAAUCGUGAGCCUGUGCGUAAGCCUGUGCAUACCCCUAGACACUCCCCUUACGCUGCCCUAUAAGAUCUUUUGGGAGACCCAAGGAGCCGUCUUUUCUAGCCGUCCGCCAUGGCGGGUGGGUGAAAGACCCGAGCUAACAUGGGGUUAGCUCGUUAAAUUACAAUAAAGCCUCGUGCAGUUUGCA